GAAGUUCCGUUACCAAUAGGUUUUUAAGCUAUGAAUAACAGGAAUUUUAGUGGUUGCGCCCGGAGGGAAACCGGGCGCAUUU
rnacentral:sRNA from 1 species